rnacentral:rRNA from 1 species
GGGAAUAUUAGUAAUGGGCGAAAGCCUGAACUAGCAACGCCGCGUGUGCGAAGAAGGCCUUCGGGUCGUAAAGCACUUUUUGAGAGGAUGAGGAAGGACGGUACUCUCAGAAUAAGUCUCGGCUAACUACGUGCCAGCAGCCGCGGUAACACGUAGGAGGCAAACGUUAUCCGGAUUUACUGGGCGUAAAGCGCGUGUAGGUGGUUUGGUAAGUAGGGCGUGAAAGCUCCUGGCUCAACUGGGAGAGGACGUUCUAAACUGCCAAGCUUGAGGAUGGUAGAUGGAGGUGGAAUCCCGGGUGUAGCUGUCGAAUGCGCAGAUCUCCGGAGGAACACCAGUAGCGAAGGCGGCCUCCUGGA